AUGAACGCUAGCUACAGGCUUAACACAUGCAAGUCGAGGGGCAGCAUGGUCUUAGCUUGCUAAGGCCGAUGGCGACCGGCGCACGGGUGAGUAACACGUAUCCAACCUGCCGUCUACUCUUGGACAGCCUUCUGAAAGGAAGAUUAAUACAAGAUGGCAUCAUGAGUCCGCAUGUUCACAUGAUUAAAGGUAUUCCGGUAGACGAUGGGGAUGCGUUCCAUUAGAUAGUAGGCGGGGUAACGGCCCACCUAGUCUUCGAUGGAUAGGGGUUCUGAGAGGAAGGUCCCCCACAUUGGAACUGAGACACGGUCCAAACUCCUACGGGAGGCAGCAGUGAGGAAUAUUGGUCAAUGGGCGAGAGCCUGAACCAGCCAAGUAGCGUGAAGGAUGACUGCCCUAUGGGUUGUAAACUUCUUUUAUAAAGGAAUAAAGUCGGGUAUGCAUACCCGUUUGCAUGUACUUUAUGAAUAAGGAUCGGCUAACUCCGUGCCAGCAGCCGCGGUAAUACGGAGGAUCCGAGCGUUAUCCGGAUUUAUUGGGUUUAAAGGGAGCGUAGAUGGAUGUUUAAGUCAGUUGUGAAAGUUUGCGGCUCAACCGUAAAAUUGCAGUUGAUACUGGAUAUCUUGAGUGCAGUUGAGGCAGGCGGAAUUCGUGGUGUAGCGGUGAAAUGCUUAGAUAUCACGAAGAACUCCGAUUGCGAAGGCAGCCUGCUAAGCUGCAACUGACAUUGAGGCUCGAAAGUGUGGGUAUCAAACAGGAUUAGAUACCCUGGUAGUCCACACGGUAAACGAUGAAUACUCGCUGUUUGCGAUAUACGGCAAGCGGCCAAGCGAAAGCGUUAAGUAUUCCACCUGGGGAGUAAGCCGGCAACGGUGAAACUCAAAGGAAUUGACGGGGGCCCGCACAAGCGGAGGAACAUGUGGUUUAAUUCGAUGAUACGCGAGGAACCUUACCCGGGCUUAAAUUGCAGAUGAAUUACGGUGAAAGCCGUAAGCCGCAAGGCAUCUGUGAAGGUGCUGCAUGGUUGUCGUCAGCUCGUGCCGUGAGGUGUCGGCUUAAGUGCCAUAACGAGCGCAACCCUUGUUGUCAGUUACUAACAGGUUCCGCUGAGGACUCUGACAAGACUGCCAUCGUAAGAUGUGAGGAAGGUGGGGAUGACGUCAAAUCAGCACGGCCCUUACGUCCGGGGCUACACACGUGUUACAAUGGGGGGUACAGAGGGCCGCUACCACGCGAGUGGAUGCCAAUCCCCAAAACCUCUCUCAGUUCGGACUGGAGUCUGCAACCCGACUCCACGAAGCUGGAUUCGCUAGUAAUCGCGCAUCAGCCACGGCGCGGUGAAUACGUUCCCGGGCCUUGUACACACCGCCCGUCAAGCCAUGGGAGCCGGGGGUGCCUGAAGUGCGUAACCGCGAGGAGCGCCCUAGGGUAAAACUGGUGACUGGGGCU
rnacentral:rRNA from 1 species